rnacentral:lncRNA from 1 species
GACCGCCUUAGAGGAGAGAAAGAAGGCUGAGGCCGAGGUCUCCGAACUAAAGGCGCAGGUUUUCGAGUUGAAGGCACAGAUUUCUGAGCUGAAAGCGCGGAUCCUGUCCCUGGUCUCGGAGGCAGGGGCCCGAGCAGUGGAGUUCAAGGCCUCCUCCAAGAUGGAGGAUCUACAGGUCCAGUUCGGCUAGGACGCCUUCAUCAAGGAUUUCGAAUUCUGCCAAGAGAAGGUGGCUGGA